GCCUGCGUGGCUCAGUCGGUUGAGCAUCUGACUUCAGCUCAGGUCAUGAUCUCGCGGUUUGUGAGUUCGAGCCCCGCGUUGGGCU
rnacentral:tRNA from 1 species